GAAAUGCGAUAAGUAAUGUGAAUUGCAGAAUUCAGUGAAUCAUCGAAUCUUUGAGCGCACAUUGCGCCCGCCAGUAUUCUGGCGGGCAUGCCUGUCCGAGCGUCAUUUCAACCAUCAAGCCCCCGGGCUUGUGUUGGGGACCUGCGGCUGCCCGCAGGCCCUGAAAACCAGUGGCGGGCUCGCUGUCACACCGAGCGUAGUAGCAAUCACCUCGCUCAGGGCGUGCUGCGGGUUCCGGCCGUUAAACAGCCUUACAAAACCCAAGGUUGACCUCGGAUCAGGUAGGAAGACCCGCUGAACUUAAGC
rnacentral:misc_RNA from 1 species